rnacentral:rRNA from 1 species
AGAGUUUGAUCCUGGCUCAGGAUGAACGCUGGCGGCGUGCCUAACACAUGCAAGUCGAACGAAGCGCUUGAAUGGAAUUCUUCGGAAGGAAGCUCGAGUGACUGAGUGGCGGACGGGUGAGUAACGCGUGGGUAACCUGCCUCAUACAGGGGGAUAACAGUUAGAAAUGGCUGCUAAUACCGCAUAAGCACACAGCAACGCAUGUUGCAGUGUGAAAAACUCCGGUGGUAUGAGAUGGACCCGCGUCUGAUUAGCUGGUUGGUAGGGUAACGGCCUACCAAGGCGACGAUCAGUAGCCGACCUGAGAGGGUGACCGGCCACAUUGGGACUGAGACACGGCCCAAACUCCUGCGGGGGGCAGCAGUGGGGAAUAUUGCACAAUGGGGGAAACCCUGAUGCAGCGACGCCGCGUGAGCGAAGAAGUAUUUCGGUAUGUAAAGCUCUAUCAGCAGGGAAGAAAAUGACGGUACCUGACUAAGAAGCCCCGGCUAACUACGUGCCAGCAGCCGCGGUAAUACGUAGGGGGCAAGCGUUAUCCGGAUUUACUGGGUGUAAAGGGAGCGUAGACGGAUGUGCAAGUCUGAAGUGAAAGCCCGGGGCUCAACCCCGGGACUGCUUUGGAAACUGUGUAUCUAGAGUGCCGGAGAGGUAAGCGGAAUUCCCAGUGUAGCGGUGAAAUGCGUAGAUAUUGGGAGGAACACCAGUGGCGAAGGCGGCUUACUGGACGGUAACUGACGUUGAGGCUCGAAAGCGUGGGGAGCAAACAGGAUUAGAUACCCUGGUAGUCCACGCCGUAAACGAUGACUACUAGGUGUCGGGUGUCAGAGACAUUCGGUGCCGCAGCAAACGCAAUAAGUAGUCCACCUGGGGAGUACGUUCGCAAGAAUGAAACUCAAAGGAAUUGACGGGGGCCCGCACAAGCGGUGGAGCAUGUGGUUUAAUUCGAUGCAACGCGAAGAACCUUACCUGGUCUUGACAUCCACAGAACCCUGUAGAGAUACGGGGGUGCCUUCGGGAACUGUGAGACAGGUGCUGCAUGGCUGUCGUCAGCUCGUGUUGUGAAAUGUUGGGUUAAGUCCCGCAACGAGCGCAACCCUUAUCCUUUGUUGCCAGCGGUCCGGCCGGGAACUCAAAGGAGACUGCCAGUGAUAAACUGGAGGAAGGUGGGGAUGACGUCAAGUCAUCAUGGCCCUUACGACCAGGGCUACACACGUGCUACAAUGGCGCAUACAAAGAGAAGCGACCUCGCGAGAGCAAGCGGAUCUCAUAAAGUGCGUCGUAGUCCGGAUUGGAGUCUGCAACUCGACUCCAUGAAGUCGGAAUCGCUAGUAAUCGUGGAUCAGAAUGCCACGGUGAAUACGUUACGGGACCUUGCACACACCGCCGGUCA